GGGUCGUUAGCUCGAGUUGGUAGAGCAGUUGACUUUUAAUCAAUUGGUCGCAGGUUCGAAUCCUGCACGACCCACCA
rnacentral:tRNA from 1 species